AUAUUUAAAGGGUGGGCAGCCAAAGGAUGAGGAAGAAGGAUUGGAUGAGGUAGAUGAGGAGGAGCAUGGGGAUACCUUGUGUGGUGCUUGCGGAGAGAACUAUGCUUCAGAUGAAUUCUGGAUAUGCUGUGACAUAUGUGAGAAAUGGUUCCAUGGGAAGUGUGUGAAGAUCACCCCUGCGAGGGCUGAGCACAUCAAACAGUACAAGUGCCCCUCAUGCAGCAACAAGAGAGCAAGGCCUUGAUAUAUCCCGUUUGAGGUGGGGAAAUUCUCACCUUCUGUAAUUCCUGUGUUGAACUCAACUAACUGUUUAGUUGGUAAGAUUUUCUCUUUCUUGGUCCUUUGUCACGGUAGAUGUAUUGAAUACUAUGGUCUUAGGAAUGUUGUUACUUGUUAUUUGGAUGUACUCUAGUCUGCAGGUCGUGAAACAUGUUCUUUUCUAUUCUGAAUUGGAAUAUAUAUUAGUUUCUUCUCUACAGAAAAACAUCUGUAGGUGUGGUAGGCCUUGUUAAUCGUCCUCCAUUCUGUUCACAGAUAUGAAGUCUUCCGUAUUUUUACUUUCAUUUUAUUGGAUUUGAUGGCAAAAUACUCUAGAGUGCCUGCAUUUAGAAUGAUCUUAUGAUCUAGAAAUGGUAACCUGAGGCCAUUGCAUUGACAAAAUCAAUAGGAAGCACAAUGGAAAUAGGUGUAUGAAUACCACUUUUGCAGAAAAUCUUUAGUUCUGUUUCCAGUUCCCACCCAACAACCAAACUUCUGAUCCCUCUCUAGGUCUAGACACGUUUUUUCAGUUGGAUGCUUCUUGAUGAAUGCAUUCACACUUCCCUUUCUCCAAAAGGGUCCAUGGGUGUUUACCAAAUUUUCUGUUUUUCUUUUUCCUUUUUUAUGACCGAGGAGCCUUCCCUGGCAGAGUCCUUGAGACUCCAUGGGGAUCCAAAUCUUUGGGUGUUGAUUGCAUCCCACCAUAACCAACAUCGGAUAAUCCAGGAAAUGCAACCAGUUGCAGGAAUUAAACACUGGAAUCCAAUCCACAACCGGCAGGAUGUUCACCUAACAUUUGACCCAAAGCCCAACUCCAUAAUCUCACAGAUUGAGAACAAAUUCCAUUGUUACUAAAUGUACUGAUCAUUGUUGUUAUGGUGUCUGGAUAGCCUCAUAUUGGGCUUUUGAUUAUCAUUAUAUGGUUUAGUAGGGUAUUAUUAUACAUAAGGUGAUUAACUUAUUACUUUGUUUGGUCAGCUGGAAAAAGGCAGAAAGUGGGGUUGAUGGUGGCUACUUUUUCUGAUGUCUGGUGGAUGGUGAUGGUCUAUAGUCAAUGCACUACGAAAAAGGAGGUCCAAGUCAUAUAAAGCAUUUAUGCGUAAAGGCUUAUGACCAUUAUUAAAAGGGCUUGUGUACAUUGAAAAAAUGAUUUCCAAUUCAAUGGCUUCUAUUUAUUUUAUUUAGACAAGGAGGUUUCAAUUUAAAAAAAUGUUUGAUUUACUUUUUAUUAGAAAAAGGAGUGAUAUAAUAAAAUUCAUUUAAGGAAAAUAUUUGAAUUUGGGUUUAUUUACAAGAACAUAAUUUUUAUUUAAAGAAAAUGAUUUUUAUGAUGAAAAGAUCUCAAUCCCAUUUUAUUUACAAGAGAAAUACUUUCAUGAUUUUUUAUUUUUGAAUACAAAUUUUUCACAAGACAAACAAGUCUUAAUACGUGAACCUAAGAUAAAAAUAUAUUUCAAUUUAAAUGUUCCAAUUUGAUUUAAAAAUAGAUUUAAUUAUUCAAAAUGUUUUACAAAUUUAUUUGAAGUGAAAUAUUUGUAAAGAUAGAAAUCACUUACAAUUAUCCGAUUUAAAAUUUAUAAUAUAAGAAAUAAUUAUUCGAAUUAUACAUACUUCAACACGAUGGCAUUUGCCUACUCAUUUCAUUCUUUGAUUGAAAUACAAUACAACAAUAAAGACAAAUAAAUAAAAAAAUAUUAUACCUAUUCUUGAAUCCUUUUGGAUCUUUUAUCCUAUAAAUUCUUUUUUCUUAGUUGUUUUUAUUAGUCUUCCUAUCUCUUACCUCUUUUCUUCUUAAAAAGGACUCGUUUCUUUCCUUAAAAAUUCUUAUCCUCUCCCUCUUUCAAAAUUCUGCUUUUUAUGUAAAAAAAUUACAUUUUUCCAUUGAAAAAAAAUUCUCAUUCUUCCCCCAAAUAUUUUUCUUUUUCCCUAAAAAAAGUCCGAUUUUCCAUAAAAAAUUUAGAUUUUUUAUUUAAAAAAUUCUAAUUUAUUUCUCUUUCUAGUCCUAUUUUUUUCCUUAAAAAAAAUAAAUAAAGUAAAAUAAAAUAGAAUAUAAUAGAAUAAAAUAAUAAAAAAUACAAACGUGCUAAGAGUGAAAGGAAGGAAAGUUUUUGAUGUGAUAGAUUUAAAAUCCAUAAAUAAAAAUUGGACAAGAACUUUCUAAUUCAAAAUCUAUAUACCAACCCUACUUUUUCUAUUUUCCACGAAGACUUGACCAUGGAAAUUGUCUGGCAGCCCCUCGUCCACCGUGGCCUAUAAAUUGAUGCUACUCAUCCCAUUCAACCCAUCAACCCAUCUGCAAUCCACACACACCUCUCCAGCUCUCCUCUCUCCGCUAGAGUUGUUUUUAGACUCAAUGUCUAUGUCUAUCAAUGGUGUUUCUCCUUCAUUUCAGAGCUUUCGGCCUCCCACUCUCCCUCUACCUGUAGAGGAAGAGAACCCCUUCUCCAUAUUGGGGGAGUCUCGUCAUGUACUGGCUCCACCGCACUGGAAGAAGGCUGCUGAGGCCCUACAGUGUGGUCAUUUUGAUGAGGUGUGCGGCAUGGUGUCGCAGUUUGCACAUGCGCAAACUGUGGAUAUUCAGGGCACGGCUCUCACAGUGGCCCAGGUCACUGCUCUUGCACGUGGGGAUCAUGUUAGGGUCGCUCUCGAUGAGGAGGCGGCCCGAGGCCGCGUGACGAGGAGUGCUGAUUGGGUGGCUGAGAACAUCUCUCGGGGCACGGACACGUACGGGGUGACUACUGGCUUCGGUGCCACUUCCCAUCGGCGGACCAACAAGACCGCUGAUCUUCAGACCGAGCUGAUUCGGUUUCUCAAUGCUGGAGUGAUCGGGAAGGAGACUCUUCCGGCGAGUUUUUCCAAGGCUGCUAUGCUUGUUCGAGCGAAUACUUUGAUGCAAGGGUAUUCGGGCAUUCGGUGGGAGAUACUUGAGGCCAUGGCCAAGCUGAUAAACCUCAAUUUGAUCCCUAAACUGCCUUUGAGGGGGACCAUCACUGCUUCUGGGGACCUUGUGCCCUUAUCUUAUAUUGCUGGAGUAUUAACUGGGAGGCAUAAUUCCAAGGUUGUGACGCCUGAGGGGGAAGAAAUCACGGCCAUGGAAGCUCUGAAGAGAGCUGGCAUUGAAGCCCCUUUUCAGCUGCAGGCGAAGGAAGGUCUGGCUCUUGUGAAUGGGACUGCUGUUGGGUCAGCGGUGGCCUCAACGGUUUGUUUUGAUGCCAACCUCUUGGGGCUCCUUGCGGAGGUUCUGUCUGCCUUGUUCUGUGAUCUGAUGAAUGGCAAACCUGAUUUUACAGAUCCUUUGACUCAUUAUCUNNNNNNNNNNNNNNNNNNNNNNNNNNNNNNNNNNNNNNNNNNNNNNNNNNNNNNNNNNNNNNNNAAGUAGCAAGAAAAACCCUUUACACAGAUGAAGAUGAGACGCUGCUAGAAUCUCGUUUCUGCGAGAAAGAACUCCAGCAGGUCGUCGAAAACUUGCCAGUUUUCUCCUAUAUCGACGAUCCCACUAAUCCUUCAUACACUUUUUUGCCUCAACUCCGAGAUGUACUAGUUGAAAGAGCUCUCAAAGACCCCAAAUCCACCGACUCUGCGGGCUAUUCCAUUUUCAAGCGCAUCCCCAUAUUUCAAGAGGAGCUGAAGGAGAGACUGAUUGAGGAGAUAUCAAAAGCAAGAGAAAGGUUUGAUAAUGGAGAUUUCCCAGUACCAAACAGAAUCAAGAAAUGCAGGACUUACCCCAUAUACGGAUUUGUGAGGAAAGAAGUGGGAACCAAGCUCCUUAGUGGUGAAAACAAGGUGAGUCCCGGAGAGGAUAUAGAGAAGGUUUAUGAGGCGAUAAAUGAUGGGAAGUUGGGAGAUAUGCUGAUGAAGUGCUUGGCAUUUUGGAAAGGCAAGCCGGGCCCUUUCACGCCGAGGCCUAGUGGGCUAUCUUCUCCAGCGCAGUUUAAUCCGGAGUAUUGGGGUUGGUUUGAGAAGCUAAGGUCUCCUUCUUCAGCCUCGAAUGGGAGAGUGAAUUGGGACCAGCUCUGAGUAGAAGGAAGGAAAAGGCAUUAAUUACGAAGAUGAGAACAAUUAUAAUGUUUGUUUGUGUGUUUCUAAUGCUGUUUUGUACUAGAAUUUUGAUUCCCAUUAAGUAAAAAUCCAAUUCCGACAAACAUGAUAUGACUUCAAAAUAUGGAUAAAUCACAUUGAAUAUGGGAGGAUAGGGAAUUUUACCUAAACAUCUCCUGAAAAUGAAUAAAUCCAAUUGCUUUUAAGAAAAUGAGACUCUAAGACCAACUUCUCCUGAUUCCACCCCCUCCACAUGAAUGGACAAUCUCUCCCUCCCUCAUCAUGAAUGGAUAGUGUCUACUUCCCACUUAUGGACGGGCCAUCUCAAAUGGUGUUCCAUGAAGAUAAAAAGCAAAAGCAAUUGUUUAUGGAUCAAGGGAAGCUGUUCACUAGGAGUGUAUACUUUUCGUUGCAUCUUUGUUCCACGCUAAUCCAUUGGGUUUCUUGAAUAUGCUUGUUAUAUGAGGCUGCUGAACAUUGGCAAAUGGGUGCUGUAUUUUAUUGUUUUAUUCAAUAACAAAUUGCUGGAAUUUUUAAUUUAGGAAACGCCUUUUCAAUAUGAUUAAUGAUCUUCCAACAAUAUUUGAGGUUGUGACCGGAGCUGCAAAGAAACAAGUGAAGGAGAAGUCAUCAGUUUCAAACCAUAGCAGCAACAAAUCCAAGUCAAAAUCAAAAGUGGUAAGUUUUUUUGGGAGAAUUGUGCUUUGAGGUCAGUUUGGGACUGAUAAAUGAUAAAUGAAUGAGGAGUAUUAGUUAUCUAGUGUCAAAUAUUGUCUUGACAUGUUCACAGCUGGGGAUAAUUGAACUAGUAAGGUGUCCACUUAUGGUAACUCACUUUUAUGACUAAUUCAUAUAUGGGCUUCAAUUUAGAUAUUUGAAUGUCAAUUAUUAGCUCGACUAUCAUAGCCUGACAUGACUAUUGUUGAUGCCUCGCGCUCCUGGUGUUCCACGCAGUUGCCAAAUGGAUGCGCGACCUCAACCAAUAUAGGUUCUUGACUCAGUCGCUAUACCUGCAAAAGACGUCCGGAUAGGGUGUCCGGACGCACCCUCCGAUGGUUUUGUCAGCCAUGGUUAGAGAGAGAUAAUCAGUUGGCUUUUUACUAGGUAUUUCCAGCUUACCUCCUCUUUGUGUGAAGGUUGAUAUAUAUAGUAUCAGAAGCUUUGAUUCCCUCUUUAAUGGCAGGGAGAUAUUUUGUGUUGUUAUGAUGACAUUAGGUGGUGGCAGGGCUAUCACCACCCUACGGGUGGCUGACAGAGAUCAUGGUAGGUGAUGCGGCUCUCAGAGAUCGUGGGAAGUGACCAUGUGGAAUGAUCAUAGGAAGUGACUUGUUGUCACUUCAUCUUGUCCUCUCACCCUGCAGGCGGCAGAACGUGGGCCAUGACAGGCUGUUGUGGUAACGUGUGAGACUUGCUUACUUUAGUCAAUGAUCCGGACUAUUGUAUCCGGAUGGAAUAUGUUGAUCAUCUGGAUGUAUUGUGUAAGCCGUCCGGAUGAUAUGUUUAUAAGUGUCGUUUGAUCUUCCUUGAGGUAGUCCGGAAAAGCGUGCCAUGUGUGCUUUAUAGGAAGAUCCGGAUGAGGGUGACUCGGAUGACAAUGCGUGCCAUGUGUCACUGUAAGAUGCGUGCCACGUGUUCUCGGAGGGAGGGGUCCCUACAACUAUGAUAUCGAUGAUAUCUUCCUUAUUAAUGUAUGUAGCAAAAACACAAAAAAUAUUUUUACUUUGCCCUGUCUGGAUUAUGCCUGCCCUCACUUUGUUUACAUGUUGCUGUCACAUUACUGUAUCCAUUCUGGAAACAAAACAGAGAGGAUCUGAAUCAGAAAAUAUUCAAAGGUUGGGCAGCCAAAGGAUGAGGAAGAAGGUUUGGAUGAGGUAGAUGAGGAGGAACAUGGGGAUACCUUGUGUGGUGCUUGUGGAGAGAACUAUGCUUCAGAUGAGUUCUGGAUAUGCUGCGACAUAUGUGAGAAAUGGUUCCACGGAAGUGUGUGAAGAUCACCCCUGCGAGGGCUGAGCACAUCAAACAGUACAAGUGCCCCUCAUGCAGCAACAAGAGAGCAAUGCCUUGAUAUAUCCCAUUUGAGGUGGGCAAAUUCUCGCCUUCUGUAAUUCCUGUGUUGAACUCAACUAACUGUUUAGUUGGUCAGAUUUUCUCUUUCUUGCUCUUUUGUCACGGUAGAUGUAUUGAAUACUAUGGUCUUAGGAAUGUUGUUACUUGUUAUUUGGAUGUACUCUAGUCUGCGGGUCGUGAAACAUGUUCUUUUCUAUUCUGAAUUGGAAUAUAUAUUAGUUUCUUCUCUACAGAAAAACAUCUGUACCUUAGGUGUGGUAGGCAUUGUUUAUCGUCCUCCGUUCUGUUCACAGAUAUGAAGUCUUCCGUAUUUUUACUUUCGUUUUAUUGGAUUUGAU
rnacentral:lncRNA from 1 species